rnacentral:rRNA from 1 species
GAUGAACGCUGGCGGCGUGCCUAAUACAUGCAAGUCGAGCGAACGGACGAGAAGCUUGCUUCCCUGAUGUUAGCGGCGGACGGGUGAGUAACACGUGGAUAACCUACCUAUAAGACUGGGAUAACUUCGGGAAACCGGAGCUAAUACCGGAUAAUAUUUCGAACCGCAUGGUUCAAAAGUGAAAGACGGUCUUGCUGUCACUUAUAGAUGGAUCCGCGCUGCAUUAGCUAGUUGGUAAGGUAACGGCUUACCAAGGCAACGAUGCAUAGCCGACCUGAGAGGGUGAUCGGCCACACUGGAACUGAGACACGGUCCAGACUCCUACGGGAGGCAGCAGUAGGGAAUCUUCCGCAAUGGGCGAAAGCCUGACGGAGCAACGCCGCGUGAGUGAUGAAGGUCUUCGGAUCGUAAAACUCUGUUAUUAGGGAAGAACAUAUGUGUAAGUAACUGUGCACAUCUUGACGGUACCUAAUCAGAAAGCCACGGCUAACUACGUG